rnacentral:rRNA from 2 species
UACAGAGGGUGCAAGCGUUGUUCGGAAUUAUUGGGCGUAAAGCGCGUGUAGGCGGCAUGGCAAGUCGGGUGUGAAAGCCCUCAGCUUAACUGAGGAAGUGCGCCCGAAACUGCUUUGCUUGAGUGCUGGAGAGGGUCGCGGAAUUCCCCAAGUAGAGGUGAAAUUCGUAGAUAUGGGGAGGAACACCGGUGGCGAAGGCGGCGACCUGGACAGUAACUGACGCUGAGACGCGAAAGCGUGGGGAGCAAACAGG